rnacentral:tRNA from 1 species
GCCGCCGUAGCUCAGCGCGGUCAGAGCGCCGGACUCAUACGGGGCUCCCCGGUCCACAGCCCCGGAGUCGGCCUCGGGGGUCCCUGGGGGAUCCGGUGGUCCCGGGUUCAAGUCCCGGCGGCGGCA